rnacentral:tRNA from 1 species
UAGGCAGAGGCCCGUUGGUUUAGGGCGCCUAGCUGUUAACUAGGAUUGUCGUGGGGUCGAAGCCCGCCUGUCUAG